AGAGAAGAAGAUUGACCACACAAUUAUAUGUAAUAAAAUCUACCUCACAAAAAACAUUUUAAACUCAUUAUAGAAGAACAUCUGAUUACUUUCCUUGAAAUAAAACCAUAUCCACAUAUAUUUAAGAAAGCCCAACUUCCAUAUAAUCCAAAUUCUGAACCUCAAAACUAGAUUGGAGUUUAUAUAAAUUACCACUAACACAAAAAAAAAAAAGAAUGGAUGAAUGUGAUGUUUUGGCAAGAUAAAAAAA
rnacentral:lncRNA from 1 species